UACGUAGGGUGCGAGCGUUGUCCGGAAUUACUGGGCGUAAAGGGCGCGUAGGUGGCGCGGGCAGUCAACGGUGAAAGUUCGGGGCUCAACCCUGAAUCGGCCGUCGAUACUCCCGGGCUUGAGCACUGUAGAGGCAGAUGGAAUUCCGGGUGUAGCGGUGGAAUGCGUAGAGAUCCGGAAGAACACCGGUGGCGAAGGCGGUCUGCUGGGCAGUAGCUGACACUGAGGCGCGACAGCGUGGGGAGCAAACAGG
rnacentral:rRNA from 1 species